rnacentral:rRNA from 1 species
GGAGGCAGCAGUGGGGAAUUUUCCGCAAUGGGCGAAAGCCUGACGGAGCAAUACCGCGUGAGGGAGGAAGGCUCUUGGGUCGUAAACCUCUUUUCUCAGGGAAGAAGCAAUGACGGUACCUGAGGAAUCAGCAUCGGCUAACUCCGUGCCAGCAGCCGCGGUAAUACGGAGGAUGCAAGCGUUAUCCGGAAUGAUUGGGCGUAAAGCGUCCGCAGGUGGCACAUCAAGUCUGCUGUCAAAGCCCCCAGCUUAACUGGGAAGAGGCGGUGGAAACUGGUGAGCUAGAGAGCAAUAGGGGUAGAGGGAAUUCCCGGUGUAGCGGUGAAAUGCGUAGAGAUCGGGAAGAACACCAGUGGCGAAAGCGCUCUACUAGGUUGCAACUGACACUGAGGGACGAAAGCUAGGGGAGCGAAUGGGAUUAGAUACCCCAGUAGUCCUAGCCGUAAACGAUGGAUACUAGGCGUUUCUCGUAUCGACC